UUAAAUGAAUUGACGGGGAGCACCACAACGGGUGGAGCUUGCGGUUUAAUUGGAUUCAACGCCGGAAAUCUUACCGGGACCGACAGCAAUAUGAAGGCCAGGCUGAAGACUUUGCCGGAUUAGCUGAGAGGUGGUGCAUGGCCGUCGUCAGUUCGUACUGUGAAGCAUCCUGUUAAGUCAGGCAACGAGCGAGACCCACGCCCACAGUUGCCAGCGUACUCUCUGGAGUGACGGGUACACUGUGGGGACCGCCGCUGCUAAAGCGGAGGAAGGAAUGGGCAACGGUAGGUCAGUAUGCCCCGAAUAUCCUGGGCUACACGCGAGCUACAAUGGUUGGUACAAUGGGUAUCUACCCCGAAAGGGGACGGGAAUCUCCUAAAACCAAUCUUAGUUCGGAUUGAGGGCUGCAACUCGCCCUCAUGAAGCUGGAAUCCGUAGUAAUCGCGUUUCAACAGAACGCGGUGAAUACGUCCCUGCUCCUU
rnacentral:rRNA from 1 species